GAUGAACGCUGGCGGCGUGCCUAAUACAUGCAAGUCGAGCGAACAGACGAGGAGCUUUCUCCUCUGACUUUAUCAGCGGACGGGUGAGUAACACAUGGAUAACCUAACUCUACGACUGGGAUAACUUCGGGAAACCGUGGCUAAUACCGGAUAAUAUAUUGAACCUCAUUGGUCAAUAGUGAAAUACGGUUUUGCUUUCACUUAUAGAUUGAUCAGGGCCGCAUUCGCUAGUUGGUAAGGUAGCGGCUUACCAACGCAACGAUGCGAAGACGACCUGAAAGGGAGAAUGCACAGACUGGCAGAGAGAAUGGGUCGAGACUCUUGCGGGGAGAAGCGGUAGGGACUCUUCCGGGAUGCAGGAAUGCCGAAUGGAGCAACGCCGCGUGAGUGAUGAAGGAGUUCGGCUGGUAAAGCGAUGUAGUUAGGGAAGAAGUAAUGUGUAAGUAACUAUGAACGUCUUGACGGUACCUAGAGAGAAAGCCACGGCUAACUACGUG
rnacentral:rRNA from 1 species